AUUGAACGCUGGCGGCAGGCCUAACACAUGCAAGUCGAGCGGCAGCGGGAAAGUAGCUUGCUACUUUUGCCGGCGAGCGGCGGACGGGUGAGUAAUGCCUGGGAAAUUGCCCAGUCGAGGGGGAUAACAGUUGGAAACGACUGCUAAUACCGCAUACGCCCUACGGGGGAAAGCAGGGGACCUUCGGGCCUUGCGCGAUUGGAUAUGCCCAGGUGGGAUUAGCUAGUUGGUGAGGUAAUGGCUCACCAAGGCGACGAUCCCUAGCUGGUCUGAGAGGAUGAUCAGCCACACUGGAACUGAGACACGGUCCAGACUCCUACGGGAGGCAGCAGUGGGGAAUAUUGCACAAUGGGGGAAACCCUGAUGCAGCCAUGCCGCGUGUGUGAAGAAGGCCUUCGGGUUGUAAAGCACUUUCAGCGAGGAGGAAAGGUCAGUAGCUAAUAUCUGC
rnacentral:rRNA from 1 species